rnacentral:rRNA from 1 species
AUUGAACGCUGGCGGCAUGCCUUACACAUGCAAGUCGAACGGCAGCACGGGUGCUUGCACCUGGUGGCGAGUGGCGAACGGGUGAGUAAUACAUCGGAACGUACCUUAUCGUGGGGGAUAACGCAGCGAAAGUUGCGCUAAUACCGCAUACGCCCUGAGGGGGAAAGCGGGGGACGGUCAGGCCUCGCGCGAUUAGAGCCGCCGAUGUCUGAUUAGCUUGUUGGUGAGGUAAAAGCUCACCAAGGCGAUGAUCAGUAGCUGGUCUGAGAGGACGAUCAGCCACACUGGGACUGAGACACGGCCCAGACUCCUACGGGAGGCAGCAGUGGGGAAUUUUGGACAAUGGGGGCAACCCUGAUCCAGCAAUGCCGCGUGAGUGAAGAAGGCCUUCGGGUUGUAAAGCUCUUUUGUCAGGGAAGAAACAGCAGCUCUAACACAGUCUGCGAAUGACGGUACCUGAAGAAUAAGCACCGGCUAACUACGUGCCAGCCGCCGCCGUAACAC